rnacentral:rRNA from 1 species
UACGUAGGGGGCAAGCGUUGUCCGGAUUUAUUGGGCGUAAAGAGCGUGUAGGCGGCCUGGUAGGUCAGCUGUGAAAACUCGGAGGCUCAACCUCGAGACGCCGGUUGAAACCAUCAGGCUAGAGUCCGGAAGAGGAGAGUGGAAUUCCCGGUGUAGCGGUGAAAUGCGCAGAUAUCGGGAAGAACACCCGUGGCUAAGGCGGCUCUCUAGUACGGUACUGACGCUGAGACGCGAAAGCGUGGGGAGCGAACAGG